rnacentral:rRNA from 1 species
UACGGAGGGGGCGAGCGUUAUUCGGAAUUAUUGGGCGUAAAGGGCGCGUAGGCGGCUUUCUAAGUCAACGGUGAAAUCCCUCGGCUCAACUGAGGAACUGCCUUUGAAACUGGACGGCUUGAGGCCGGGAGAGGGUAGCGGAAUUCCCAGUGUAGCGGUGAAAUGCGUAGAUACUGGGAGGAACACCGGUGGCGAAGGCGGCUGCCUGGACCGGUUCUGACGCUGAGGCGCGAAAGCGUGGGUAGCAAACAGG